CCUACGGGUGGCUGCAGUGGGGAAUAUUGGACAAUGGGGGGAACCCUGAUCCAGCCAUGCCGCGUGUGUGAAGAAGGCCCUCGGGUUGUAAAGCACUUUCAGUGAGGAAGAACGCCUGGUGGUUAAUACCCAUCAGGAAAGACAUCACUCACAGAAGAAGCACCGGCUAACUCCGUGCCAGCAGCCGCGGGAAUACGGAGGGUGCGAGCGUUAAUCGGAAUUACUGGGCGUAAAGCGCGCGUAGGUGGCUUGAUAAGCCGGUUGUGAAAGCCCCGGGCUCAACCUGGGAACGGCAUCCGGAACUGUUAAGCUAGAGUGCAGGAGAGGAAGGUAGAAUUCCCGGUGUAGCGGUGAAAUGCGUAGAGAUCGGGAGGAAUACCAGUGGCGAAGGCGGCCUUCUGGACUGACACUGACACUGAGGUGCGAAAGCGUGGGUAGCAAACAGGAUUAGAUACCCUUGUAGUC
rnacentral:rRNA from 1 species